CUAAAAGGCUAAUAUACUCAAUGGAGAGGCAUGCCACGUCCUCAUAAUAAAUCAACCAAUCAGGGACAAGUGUUUUAACACGUCAUUACUACUUCCGUCUAAUGCCUUUGGGCUGUCUAUACAUUUUAAAAUAUCCCAGUUCAAGCCCAUUUUCGUAUAAACCUAAUUUCUUCUGAAGCAUAGAACUGAUCUUUUCUCGACUCUUCCCCUUCAUCUUCACUGGUUGCUCUGUAGCUCCGUUUCCGCUUGGUCCUCUUGAUUAAUCAAUGAAGCUAUUUAAUCUUUUCUUUAUUGUUUCGUUUUACCUCCCUCUGUUUUUUCUUAUAUAUAAAUUGAUGCCAUAUCUUCGUCUCUGCUCUUCCACUCCACAAAGCCGUCAAUCAAAACUCAGCGCAUCCAUGGCUAACAACAAUGGGAAAAUCAUUUGCGACAGCUCCAGCUAAUGGUAAAUCGCAAAAAUCCCUCACCUUUUUAAUCCCAAAUCUAAGCAUUUUAAGUUUGCUGAGAUGACAUCGUCGUGGCUGAUCUGGUUCGUUGUUACUUUGUUAUUUCUGCUUCGUUUAUCCCAUGCGAUUUUUGGCGCAAUUUGAAACGCGCUCCUACAAAGAUAUCAUGUUUUCGUAAUAUAUGUGUUUCAUCAAUUAGUUUGAUUUUAACUCUAUGUGAUUACUUUUCCUACAGUUUUUCCAGAUAUAUUGAUUCAGAUGAUAACCAGAAAAGAGCUAAACGUCUAUUGUGAUAAAGGUGAUUUGCUUGGUCAUUUUAUCAAUAUACAUUAUAGAAUAUAUAUAAUUUCAUCUCCCCAGCACUAAUAAAGCCAUACUUUGUUCUUGGACAGCGCAUGUCAAGUUCUUAUUUGUCUAAAACGAACUUAUCCACUUAAUUUUGAAGUAAAUUUAUUAUGAAAAUUUGAGGGUCUAAGUUAAAGUAAGAAGCAUGGGACGACAAUGCUUUGUGGAUAUCAAUAGCCUCAACUUUCUAUUCAUGUACCAAGUAUUUACAAGGUAAACUAUUUUAACAUCUCAAAUUCAAAUCAAUAUUUACAUUGAGUAUAACAAUUAUUUAAGCAUUGGGAGUCAGCUCUUGAAAGAGUCACAGAUGUUCAUGUUCCAUAUUCAGUUGAAGUUUUUGAAGCUCACUGCGACAUGAGUGGUGAUUUAUACGAUGUGGUAGGCCAUAUGAAGCUGAUCGAUUGUUAUAAUCUAAACAUACAGAGUGGAAAUAUUUGUAUACGGUAAUGGGGACAACACAACUAUUGGGCGAGAAGUUUCUGAGCUGAUGGACAACUAUGGGGCGAGAAGUUUCUGAGCUGAUGGACAACUACGGGGAGGCUAAUGGGGGUAAUGGUAAGUCAUCCAACCCAGCGAUGAGUUGUGAUGAAGAAAACAAGGCCAACCACCCCUACGCCAGCACUUAAAAGGGUCCCUCACUGAACAUUGGCACUUGAGGGCCCAUGCACAUCUGCAUCACUACAUUACAAUUGUGUUUCGUUUUACGUUGCGUAGAGUUUACCCUUUUUUUUUACAGAAGUUCAGUAUGCAUUUGUUCAACAGGCUGCUGUUCAACUUGCAAUCUACAAAUCUUUAAACAAUUCACUUUAUAAAUAAAUUGGAAAAGAUAUAUAAGUAAAUGUGGGAUUUGUAAUAAGAUCGAAACAAAGGAGACAACACAAUCUAAAAAACAUUUCUUCCUAACAGAGAGAAAAAGAUUAUUAAAAACAUUUACUUAUAUAUGUUUUUUUAAUUACUUAUAUAUCUUAA